UCCAUUCCCACCCCAAAGCAAAUCACAGAGGAGUUUUGAGAGAAAAGCUCCUGUAGCCCAAAUCCAAGGAAGGUAUUAAAAGGAGAAGAUAACAGCUUACCAGAGGGUGAGAUGCUGACACAGUUGCUGCUUCUCCCUGCCUCACCAUUAGUAAAUGGAAGACUGGAAAGCCUAAAAAGUGAGAAGUGACAAGCAACAAGGUGACUAACUUCGAGCCAAGUUUUUCUCCUGUUCUGCUGGACCAUAGCACUACUCCAACAGUAGGAUAUAGG